GGGGCGAGAUGACCUGGCGGCUGCUCACCAUGCAAGUCGAACGGUACAGGUCUUCGGAUGCUGACGAGUGGCGAACGGGUGAGUAAUACAUCGGAACGUGCCCGAGAGUGGGGGAUAACGAAGCGAAAGCUUUGCUAAUACCGCAUACGAUCUCAGGAUGAAAGCAGGGGACCGCAAGGCCUUGCGCUCACGGAGCGGCCGAUGGCAGAUUAGGUAGUUGGUGGGAUAAAAGCUUACCAAGCCGACGAUCUGUAGCUGGUCUGAGAGGACGACCAGCCACACUGGGACUGAGACACGGCCCAGACUCCUACGGGAGGCAGCAGUGGGGAAUUUUGGACAAUGGGCGCAAGCCUGAUCCAGCCAUGCCGCGUGCAGGAUGAAGGCCUUCGGGUUGUAAACUGCUUAUGUACGGAACGAAAAGACUCUGGUUAAUACCUGGGGUCCAUGACGGUACCGUAAGAAUAAGCACCGGCUAACUACGUGCCAGCAGCCGCGGUAAUACGUAGGGUGCGAGCGUUAAUCGGAAUUACUGGGCGUAAAGCGUGCACAGGCGGUUAUGUAAGACAGAUGUGAAAUCCCCGGGCUCAACCUGAGAACUGCAUUUGUGACUGCAUAGCUAGAGUACGGCAGACGGGGAUGGAAUCCGCGUGUAGCAGUGAAAUGCGUAGAUAUGCCGAAGAACACGAUUGGGAAGGCAACCCCUGCGCCUGUACUGACGCUCAUGCACGAAGCGUGGGGAGCCACAGGAUUGAAUCCCGGUAAUCAGGCUAAAGAU
rnacentral:rRNA from 1 species